UCCCUGGUAGCUUAGGUGGUAAAGCGUCUGCCUGAAAUGCAGGAGACUCGGGUUCGAUUCCUGGGUUGGGAA